UCUGAGAGGACGAUCAGCCACUACGUGGGACUGAUACUACGGCCCAAACUCCUAGCGGGAGGCAGACAGUGAGCGGAAUUUUCCGCAAUGGGCCGUAAGCCUGACGGAGCAAGACCUGUUGAUGGAGGACACGCUCUUGGGUUGUAAACCUCUUUGCUCAGGGAACAAGCUCUGACGGUACCUGAGGAAUCAGCCUCGGAUAUCUCCAUGCCAACAGCCGAGGUAAUUCGGAAGACGCAAGGCGUUAUCCGGAAUCAUGGGGCUUAAAGCGUACUCGUCGUGCGCUAUUCAAGUCUGUUGUCAUAACACACGGGGUCUACCUCCUGUAAGGCAGUGGAAACUGAAUAGCUAGAGUGCCGUAGGGGUAGAGGGAAUUCCCGGUGUACCGGUGAAAUGCGUAUAGAUCGGUAAGAACCUCGGUGGAGACUGCGCUCUACUGGACGGUAAUUGACAUUCAGGGACGAGUGCUAUGGGAGCGAAUGGGAUCCUAUACCGCUAGUAGUCCUAGCUGUCCACGAUG
rnacentral:rRNA from 1 species